CCUACGGGAGGCAGCAGUGGGGAAUCUUGCGCAAUGGGCGAAAGCCUGACGCAGCCAUGCCGCGUGAAUGAUGAAGGUCUUAGGAUUGUAAAAUUCUUUCAGUAGGGACGAUAAUGACGGUACCUACAGAAGAAGCCCCGGCUAACUUCGUGCCAGCAGCCGCGGUAAUACGAAGGGGGCUAGCGUUGCUCGGAAUUACUGGGCGUAAAGGGAGCGUAGGCGGGUUAUCAAGUUGGAGGUGAAAGCCCAGGGCUCAACCUUGGAAUUGCCUUCAAAACUGAUAGCCUAGAGUAUGAUAGAGGUAAGUGGAACUCCGAGUGUAGAGGUGAAAUUCGUAGAUAUUCGGAAGAACACCAGUGGCGAAGGCGACUUACUGGAUCAUGACUGACGCUGAGGCUCGAAAGCGUGGGGAGCAAACAGGAUUAGAUACCCUGGUAGUCCACGCUGUAAACGAUGAUUGCUAGUUGUCGGACGGCAUGCCGUUCGGUGACGCAGCUAACGCAUUAAGCAAUCCGCCUGGGGAGUACGGUCGCAAGAUUAAAACUCAAAGGAAUUGACGG
rnacentral:rRNA from 1 species